AGCAGCCGCGGUAAUUCCAGCUCCAAUAGCGUAUAUUAAAGUUGUUGCAGUUAAAAAGCUCGUAGUUGAAUUUCGGGAUCAAUGCGUCGGUCGUGCCUUCGGUACGUACUAGCGUCAUUGAUUCCUCCCUUCUGAAGAACCGUGAUGUCAUUAAUUUGGUGUUACGGGGAAUCAGGACUGUUACCUUGAAAAAUUAGAGUGUUUAAAGCAGGCUAACGCUUGAAUACAUUAGCAUGGAAUAAUGAAAUAGGACGUUCGAACCUAUUUUGUUGGUUUCUAGGAUCGACGUAAUGAUUAAUAGGGAUAGUUGGGGGCAUUAGUAUUCAAUUGUCAGAGGUGAAAUUCUUGGAUUUAUUGAAGACUGACUACUGCGAAAGCAUUUGCCAAGGAUGUUUUCAUUAAUCAAGAACGAAAGUUAGGGGAUCGAAGACGAUCAGAUACCGUCGUAGUCUUAACCAUAAACUAUGCCGACUAGGGAUCGGAUGAUG
rnacentral:misc_RNA from 2 species